UACGAAGGGUGCAAGCGUUACUCGGAAUUACUGGGCGUAAAGCGUGCGUAGGUGGUUUGUUAAGUCUGUUGUGAAAGCCCCGGGCUCAACCUGGGAAUGGCAAUGGAUACUGGCAAGCUAGAGUGCGGUAGAGGGUAGUGGAAUUCCCGGUGUAGCGGUGAAAUGCGUAGAUAUCUGGAGGAACACCGGUGGCGAAGGCGGCAUCCUGGACCGGCAUUGACGCUGAGGCGCGAAAGCCAGGGGAGCAAACGGG
rnacentral:rRNA from 1 species